rnacentral:misc_RNA from 1 species
CCUCAAGCCAAUUUGUAAACUCCAACAAAAGGCAUCAGAACACUCCCCAUCCACAGUUUCCCAUCCUUCUCUUCCACUUCACUAAUUGCUUUGACAACCUUCCCCUGACUGUCCUCCAAAACCUGCAAAAGCUUACCUUCUGGACUGUAUUUAGCGACCACUGCAUGAAGCCGGCCCCCAAUGUGAAGCAGGUACUGGAUCUUGGUUGGAAUUGGAAGCUUGAGCAAGAACAUCCUCAGUUUAGGGUAUCUUGCACACAUGUAACUAUAAAAGGUACGACGACAGUGAACUGCUACCCAAAAGUUGCCCUCUGCAUUUGUCCUGACAUUGUCAGGAAAUCCUGGUAAGAUGGCAAAUACUUCUGAAGUCCCUGCUUUCUCGCCUUUCAGCCAGUACUUGCGCAAUCUGCCAAGGGAUCCUUCACAGAAAACAAAGAAGGUACCAUCCUUGCUUAAGGACACACCAUUUGGAAAUUGAAGAUUCCUUACAAGGACAGUGGUUUCCUUUGUAAUUGGAUUGUACUUUAGAACCCUCCCGCUAUCAUCGGCAGAAAAAACCAAUUGCAUGAAGUUCCUCCUCUGGUAUUGAGUGCUACUAUCUGUGAAAUAAAUGUUCCCUCGAUCAUCAAUGUCUAGAUCAUUGGUAAACUGCAGUGGGAUCCCUUCUGCUUCAGUUGUUAGUGAUGUUGCCAAGCCACCUUCUGGCCCCACCUUCAACAGCCCAAAAUAUGCAUCAGCAAUGUAUAAAUCACCGGUUUUCUUAUCAAAUCGAAGCCCCAAAGGCCUGCCACAAAUGUGCUCAUUCUUCAAAUAACUCAAAGGUGAUGGUUUUGGGUUGCAAAUUUCUGAUCUAUAAGGUGAAGUAUAAGCAAAAUCAAUCCAUUUAUGACCAUCCCAGAACACGAUUCUCCCAUCCGCAAGACCAGUGUAAGGCCCCCGGCCAAGAGGGUCAAAGGCGAUACUCUCAGGGCCUUGAACUUGAUUGAGAAACUUAAUUUCAGAUCUUUGCAGUAAGUUAUCCUUGUCUUUCUCGGUAGGAACCAAUGACCAGUCCGGCAUGUCAACUUUCACGGCCUUGAAGUCUGGGAAUUCUGAGAUAGCACUGUGCUUAAGAGGGUCAAUGCCACAGUACAAGGCUAAAAGGAGGAAGAGACCGGCGAGAAUUCCAGUGGGAGUCAUUGCGGAGAAGGUUGAGCUUCCGGUCAGAGAGAGGAAGGGUAGCCUGGGGCUGUAAAUGAAGUGGAGUGGUGGCAGAGUGUCAACUACCUCCUGAGUAGGGGGUUUAGAAAGCUUAAAUAUGAACGCGAGGUCUCCUUGGAGCUUCAAGCUUUAGUCAGUAUGGUGGGCGUUUGAAAAUAGGAUUUGAAUGAAAAUAUCACGCACCCGACCCAC